AGAAGAAGCCAUUGAUUGGCUAGGCCAUCAGAAGCUAGAUAGAAGGCAUCUGCCAUUUAACUGUAUUAGGGCAAACUUUGUGAGGGAAUAAACCAAUCACAUUGUGACUUCUAAAGGGUGGGACCGAUUUUACAAAAACAAAUGGAAACUUCUGCCUUCUCAAAGGCCAACAGGUCACUGUGCAAUUGCAAGCUGUAGUUUUCCCACAGACUAGUAAGCCAUCUUUUGUUAUAGGCUAGUUUGCAGUGGCUGCAGCAGGUGUUAUUGAAGAGGAUGUUGUUUGUAAUUUGUUAGCUUCUCCCUUUUCAAGAAUAACUUUCAACAAGAAGUUCAUUUUCAAAUUAUCGUCAUCUGGGACCUACUGGCUUAUGUCCGAAGGAAUGGACUGCUUAUCCUUUAACAUCAUGCUGUGUUUGACUGCUGUCUUUCCAUCGGCCCUAUGCAGUGGUGUUGUGGUGCCUGGAGAAUGGGCCUGGCUCACUAGUGUGUGGGCAUGUGUCCAGGCCCACUCAUGCCCACGCCCCUGAUGCAAACAGUACACGAUGACUGACCUGCGCAUCACAAAAAGCCUUUGGACCAAACUCAUUCAAUACAUGGUUUGCAUACCCAUUGUUGCCUUAGUUAGCGUUUUCUAUCUACCCUACCGAUGACAUUCCUCUGUGCGCUCCAUGCCAAACGCAUGUGACUUUAUUUCACGUACUUUGUGAUUGUGUAGGUUAAUUUGUGCAUGAUGGUACUACAUAGAUUGUACUACAUAAUUGAUAAGUCAUAUACCUACACUACUCUAAUAUGCAUCAGUGGGGAUUAAGAAGUGAGUAUAAGCAAUGCUCACUGGAAAAAAAGGUGGUUAUAUGAUAUAUACAGUUGAAGUUUACAUACACG
ensembl:lncRNA